CUUUCUCUCUUUAGCCUCGCUCCAACAUAGAUUUCUGUAACUUUUGUUUUGAUUUUUGAUUCUUUGUAGUUUAUUAUGGUUCGACUGUUAUGAUGCAGCGCUUCGAAGAGUUCUAAAUCUUCUUUCUCAGAAGAUAAUCUCCAGAAAAUAUAUGUUGUAUCAAACCCCAAUUUUUCAAAUUCUUAUAUCAUAUCAACAGGGUUUUUAAAUUCAUUGUUAUGUUGAGUUAUGGGGUUCCUCCUCUUCAUGGUGCUCGGUUCAGGCAAGAUCAGUGUCGCUCCUUCUCCUGUUCAAAUCAAUAUGUCUGGAUAAUUGCAGCCACUAAUGUUGUUUGAACCAAUCUCUAUACAUCAAAUCAAUCAAUUUGUACCACAAAGGCUAAUGGGUUGUUGACAUGGAAUUAAUGUCUCGAAACUGUAGAUAUUUGGGAAAUAUCUUUGACAAUUAGUUGGAUCGAGAGGACAAAUGAACAAAUGGGUUGUUGUUGCUGCCGUUAAAUUGGUGAACCCAAACUUUUAUUGAACUUGAGGAGUCAAUUCUAUCUGGUGAUGUGGCUGCUAAUGCUUUACAUGAUUCUGAGCAUCAAAUUUUCUGGGAGUUUUUCAUUCGGUUUUGGUAUAUCCAAUUGAUCAGAGGCUUAAAAAUCCUAGGGCUUUAGCAGGCUUUAUAUAAUCAGUCACCGGAAGAUGUAGAUGUACACCACAUCAAUGACAAGGAUGACGAAGUUUUGUGGCAAAUUCACUGUUUGAUAGUUCAUGAAGUAUGGGUUUUAUCUUGGUUUGGUUCUUUGCUGGGGUUUUAGCCUUUUAGGUAGUUAUUUGAGAUUUGAAGGCAAGGAAAAGUGUUUCUUUUUGGGUUACAGGAUAUGAGAACUUAUCGAACGGCCUCAAUUAGAACUUAGGGUAGCUGCAAUCCAUGUGAAUUUUUAAGAGACGAACUCUGCUACAGUAGCUGUGUUGGGAAUAUCUUUAAUGGUAUUAAUGUGGAGCACAUCUUAACAAAGAUUAAAUUUGAGCAUUCUUUCCAGGUGCUGUCGCGAACAGAAUUCGUCUCAUGCCAGAAAACUCCUCGAUUUUUGCUCUAAGAAGUAAUUUGUAUCAUGGUAAAGCACGCAUCACGUCAUUCGUGCUAGAAGCAUGAAUUAUGAUGCUGAGAAGAAGAGAUUGCUUGGUCGAGUGGAUUUUCAAGAAUCUGAAAGAGGAUGGUGGGAAACAUAAUGCUAAAAUUUGUGGAGGACUCGCUAAAGAAUGUUGCAAGGCUGUAGAACGAAUAGAUGUGGUGUUGAUGACGAAAAAGGGAAGUGAUGGUAAUGUUUGUAUUAUCUGCAAGCUUGGUGGGAGCGGGAUGCUCAUGUGGGUUACAUUUGCUCUUUUCAUCAUCAGUUCAUUUUACACUGGCACUCAAUACCAAAAUUUCAAGGUGUUGUGUUAAGAAGAAGAUUCAGUAAGGUGCGCAUUAUUUUCCUGGAGGAGUAGACUCCAAUCUGGACGCCAAAGAUUGUGGUAAGCUGGUAGUGUAUGGUUGUUUUCUUAUUUAUACACCGCUUUUUGCUUGCAGCCACUGUAAGUACUCCAUGGUGACAUCGGGUUGGGUUUAUGUUCAAGUAAAGGUAGAAAAGCUUAUGCCAUUAUUCAAUUUUAUCUUUUAAACAAACAGGUUUAAGUGUGUUUUCAACUUACAUUAGGAAAUCAUAUUUGAUGUCUUAGCUCAAACGGCAGAGCACAUGGCUUUCACCCAUGUUUAUUGUGGGUUCAACUCCCACAGAUGGCUUGGUUAUAUGAGUAACCAAAUUUGGAACCAGUUUAAACUCUAGAUUUCCUACUUUAACUAGAUUUCCUAAUUUAACAAGAUUUCCUAAUCAAGAAAUUCAAAACCAGUUUAAACUAUGGAUUUCCUAAUUUAUCUAGAUUUCCUUAACCUCACAGUUCCCCUAUAUAUCCUCUAUAUGUACACCUUUCUUAGCUGAAUUGGAUUUCCUAUUCCUAACAGUUUUCCCACAUAUCUUCCUCUGUAUAUACACCUUGGAAAAUGCUCAGUUUACACUUGUACCUGUGAUUAAAGUCUGGCACCAUCUGGGAACAAAGAUAUUGUCAUAAAGCAUCGUGAAUAUAUAUAUUUGUUCAACUUAAAUUAAAUUAUGAGGUAAGCAUUCGAUUGUGUAGUUCGAAUUUCUGUAUUCAAGAUGGUUUGAUUCUUAUAUUUGGUAUUUCCUACCAAUUCUUCUUAUGAGGUAAGCUUUCGAUUGUGUAGUUAUUCAAGCUGGUUUGUCUAAUUGAAUGAGUAUAUUUGUGUAUCAGUUCUUCAAAGAGGCAGAAGACAACAUCAUCGCAAGCUAGCGAGGAUGGGAAACAAACCAGUAAUGCAAGGUCUGUGGCUGCGAGGUUAAGGUGGGAAAAGAAAAGGCAGAGUGACGGGGAAAAACAAGAGCAGGUGGAGCGCGAAGCAAGGUUGAAGUUUGAACAACAACUUGAAAUUGCACGACAGGCGGAGGAUAUUAGGCGGGAAAGAGAACAGUUCAUAGCAGAUAGGAUAAAGAUGAGGUUUCAUUCUUUUAAUUAACGUGUGUGUAUAGAUGGAUGUAUGGUUUGUGUUUAAAAGUAUGAUUAUAUUUUGGAUGCGGUUUUCGGAUGCGGAGAGUGGAGGGUCAACGCCGGCGUCGUUUGAACGAGGAGGAAGAAAAACGUGAAAGAAAACGUCAAGAAUUAUUAAAUAUUCGCAGUGCAGGGUCUGGGCAAGCAAUAGAACAACAGGAGGGUGAGCAUAUCAAUAGUUCAUUAAAUGCUCAGGUUCGUAAGUUAUUUAUUUACAGUAGAGACUAUGAGAAUGGUUACACUGUCGAGAGCAACAUUGGUGUAGAAAUUAAUUUGGGAGGGAGUAGAGAAUAAUUAAUGCGUCAGCAAACACAAGGCAAUGGUGUUGUAUUAGACGAUAAAUAAUAUAGACAACGUGUAAUAGAGGAGAGGCAAAGACAAACUCAGGUGAACAGUGAAUCAAUAUAAUUCCAGUAUAUGUGGUUAGUUAUUGUGUCAAAGUUUUAUGUAUAUGCGUAUAUGCUUAAGUAAAUAUAUUUCUUCGUUUUCCAGCGUUUUAGUCAACAACCUUGCACACAAUACAUACUCGGGGAAACUAAAGCUAGGAAAUAUAAGAAGUAUAAUGAUCGGAGAAAGGCCGAGAGAGCAUCCAAAAAGGAACCAGUGCAGAAAGUUAAAAGCACUAAACAAGUAUCCGCUACAUGAUCUGCAGCUCAGAAAGCGCGGCGGGCAUCUAUGAGAGAGAAUAAGGGAGAUAUGGAGAGAAUGGCUGCUAGCAGUGAUGCUGUCACGGUUCCAAAAUUGGGUUUGGUUCCCAAGGCACGCGUGCGUGUGCAGCCAGAAACAUUGUAUGCUUUCUUGACUGAGGAGGAAAAGUAUAAUAUACUUUUAAGAAGUGGACAAAUCAAGGAACAAGUUGUGGUGGGACAACAAGAUGGCGUUUCUAUUGGUGGACAUAUUCCAAAACAUAAUAAAAUUGUGAGAUUUCUUUAGAAAUAUUGGGGGUCAACCAUUCAUGCUUUAUUUGGUGCAGGAGUUUUUUGAGGCAUCGUAAAUUUUUUAUCUUUAAUAACUUUAAGAGAUAAUUUUUACUAUUUCAAGUUCUUAGUAUUCUCAUUAGGGUAUUAAAUCUUUAAUUAACAUAAAUUUUAGAUGUGGAUUCUUUAAGUAAAUAUCCAUUUAAUUUUUUUCAUUGGAUUA